GUGACUUGUUCUUAUAUUUCACCUAAGAUGGCUCUGCUGGGAUGAGGGGAAAGGGUGUUAGGCUGUGGAGAGAAGGACAAGACACCCACAAGCUGCCCUUCUGCACCCACAAGCAAUCUGCACAGAGGUGCCAUGUUGGGGGCUGGGAACAUAAUGAUGAUCAAGAGAGACAAAAGUGGAGCUGCCAUCCUCGACGGGGUAGACAGACAAGCAAAACCCAGGGCGCGCUGGGAAGCGUGGUGAGAGCUACGGAGACAAAUGAAGUGAGGAAGGGCGUGCCAAGAGCCAGCGAAGGCUGAGCGGUGACAUUUAAGCAGAGACCUGAAGGCGUGAGAGCAAGCCAGCCUCGGGAAUGGUGUCCCAGGCAGAGGGAACGACAAGGGCAAAGGCCCCGAGAAAUCAUUACAAUUAGCUGUUUACUGACUGCCUCCCUUGUUACUUGGGGCUUCAGGAAGCCAGGAAUGGACCUUGUAUCAUUCCUCCUAUAAAACCCUAUGAGAGGACUUCCCUGGUGGCACAGUGGUUAAGAAUCCACCUGCCAAUGCAGGGGACACAGGUUCAAACCCUGGUGUGGGAAGAUCCUACAUGCUGCGGAGCAACUAAGCCCGUCCACCACAACUACUGAGCCUGUGCUCUAGACCCCGCAAGCCACAACUACUGAGCCCACGUGCCACAACUACUGAGCCCGCGCACCUAGAGCCCGAGCUCCACAACAAGAGAAGCCACUGCAAUGAGAAGCCCACGCAGCGCAACGAAGAUUAGCCCGAGCUCACUGCAACUAGAGAAAGCCUGCACGCAGCAACA